rnacentral:rRNA from 1 species
AACUGCAAUCAUAACAUCCUGAACACACCCAAUUUCUUCUGAUCUCAGAAGCUAAGCAAGUUUGGGGCUGUUUGGUACUUGAAUGGGAGCAAAUCAGGCCACUGAAGAUG